rnacentral:RNase_P_RNA from 1 species
AACCCUAUUCGAGGAAAGUCCGUGCACCACAGAGCAGAAUGCCGGAUAACGUCCGGUGGAGGCGACUCUAAGGAUAGUGCAACAGAAAGAAACCGCCAGAAAUGGUAAGGAUGGAAAGGCGAGGUAAGAGCUCACCGGCAACCUGGAGACAGGUUGGCCCUGUAAACCCCAUUCGGUGCAAGAUCAGAGCCGAUAGGCAGUUGCUCGCUGCGGCUCGACGAAUCGCUUGAGCGUCUUGGUAACAGGACGACGAGACAGAUGAUGUUCAGAAACAGAACACGGCUUAUCGAUUUGCUUUU